AUAAGUAAUGUGAUUGCAGAUUUCAGUGAAUCAUCGAAUCUUUGAACGCACCUUGCGCUCCUUGGUUAUUCCGAGGAGCAUGCCUGUUUGAGUGUCAU
rnacentral:rRNA from 1 species